rnacentral:lncRNA from 1 species
CAGAGUGUAAUGUUUUGGUCGAUGUGUGAGUUGCUGUGGGAAUGAGACUGCGUGGCAGGGAUUUGGAGGAUUCCACUGUCUCCUGGAUACCAAGCGUCCUGGGUGUGCAGACCGUCAGGCUCCGCCUUCGCCUCAAUCGCCGUGACGACAGGGGGAGGGGCCUUUGGCAACUGGUUGACCUGGGAGAGGAAGCACAGAGUGGGCAUCGGAUACGAGACAGUACGCCUCCUACUUGUUCUCAAAGUCUGAUGAGUAUUCCUUCUGCUGCAUCAGUUCAGUCAGGGGGUGGAGAGAUGCAAUCACCUGGGGCCAUUAGUCCCUCCUUCCUCCCGCCCCCAAGUGGAAAAGUUCCAGGUCGCAAGAGGGGUCGCCCACCCCUAAAGAGGCACCCGGAAUAUCAGAGUCGCCUACCCAGAAUCCCUCCCACCCAUUAAAGUGCCUAAGAAGAGAGGGAGGAAGCCUGGCUUUAAGCUGAAGGCUCGCUUGAUGACACCUCUAGCCAUCUCUCCUCCCAGCAGCACCCCCGGAGCCAGACAUGAGUUCUAUUCCCCAGGACGCUGCUACUACUCCCCCACUCAGCCACUCCACAGGUCCUCACAGGUAACAAACACACACACACACACACACACACACACACACACAACACACUUCUGCCGACUCCCAGUUUUUCUAUUUGCAGUGUUGCUGUGCCUAUCCAGAAACUAGUACCCUGCUCUUACUAUUAAGAGAAUAAUAAAAUGUGAGCAUUAGUGGAAUCACUGUCCUCAGAGAAGUCACAUUAUGACUCAGUGCCAUCUCAUUCUCUUCUUCGUGGCUGUAACUGUAAUACUGUAACCCUACCCAUAUAUUGCAUUCAAAUAUUGUUGUGCCAGUUGUGAUGAGACUUCAAUCCACUGGUCUGUCACUCCAAACUCAGUCUGUGUGAAUGUAGCCAUAAAUUAUUUCACUGCACAGACACACUCAAUCUUUGAGGUCAGGACCCAGUGGUCUACACGGGCUGCCCAUCCAAUUGGCAAUAACAUCCAUCACUAAAAGGAGAUGGAACAGAGAGAAAAGAGUAGUUACAUCUCUUAUUUUAAAGGUUAAUAGGUGUGAGAGUCUCUAGGGACAUUAUUGAGGGACCUGACUGCUCUUGCCUUGGAGGCAUUAUCAUCCAAUUUAACUCUUUAUUACAGUGGAGAGAUCAAUUCUGUUCUGCUACAUUGUUUUUAUAAUGGAAUAAAAAAUCUUAGUAUUUAAACUAAAGAAUAAAAGCUUAGAAUAAAUUCAAAUCCUGACUACAGCUUGUGUGUUUUAAAUUCUGCCUUUCAAAAUGAGUAGAGGCUGCGUCUCAAUGCACCUGUCUGGUUCUCCAUUAGGUCUACUUUAAACUUGAGAAGAUGUGAUGGUACGGCUGAACUCAAUCCUGAGUUCUCAAAGCUUAAUCCCUUUGUCGUAGGGAGCAGUUGCCGAACAAGAGGCUUUUGUCUGCCCACCAGGUGUCUAGACUUUAAUUCUUUGUACAGCGGAAGAGUCACGCUCUCUUUUAGUCCCUUUAGUGUAUUUCAAAAAACCAUGAUCAUUUUGUCCAAUUUCAUAUGUUUGACAUCAGCAUAUUUCCAUAAAUUCUUUGAAGAGAGAAAUCUGACAGCAUCUCAAUGCUCACAAACCUGUGUUCCAGUAUGUGUGUGAACUGUUGGACUGUUGUGGGGGUCGCCAAGGGACUUGUUUCGGCUGCUGGUGGAGGUCAUGACCUUGAUGACUUGAGGUCAUUGUUAAUAGCUUUUGAGCCAGAAAACGUGUUUGCUUGUGCUUGUUAAAUUAUAUUGCCUUUCCUGAGUAUGCAACAUUUUCAGUGUCUGUAAGUCUACUGUACAUGUCUGGCAUGUCAGUAAUCUUGCUGUCAGUUAUCUGAUUUAAUGCUUUGUGUGUCACAUCAGUCCUCCCACACUAAGUGUUCAUUGACUUUC